CCUACGGGUGGCAGCAGUGGGGAAUAUUGGACAAUGGGGGGAACCCUGAUCCAGCCAUGCCGCGUGUGUGAAGAAGGCCCUCGGGUUGUAAAGCACUUUCAGUGAGGAAGAACGCCUGGUGGUUAAUACCCAUCAGGAAAGACAUCACUCACAGAAGAAGCACCGGCUAACUCCGUGCCAGCAGCCGCGGUAAUACGGAGGGUGCGAGCGUUAAUCGGAAUUACUGGGCGUAAAGCGCGCGUAGGUGGCUUGAUAAGCCGGUUGUGAAAGCCCCGGGCUCAACCUGGGAACGGCAUCCGGAACUGUCAAGCUAGAGUGCAGGGGAGGAAGGUAGAAUUCCCGGUGUAGCGGUGAAAUGCGUAGAGAUCGGGAGGAAUACCAGUGGCGAAGGCGGCCUUCUGGACUGACACUGACACUGAGGUGCGAAAGCGUGGGUAGCAAACAGGAUUAGAUACCCGUGUAGUC
rnacentral:rRNA from 1 species